GGUAGCUGCAGAAGGAAUCCUGCACGCAAAGGUGCCUGAAGCUGCAUCUUGCCCACUGGAAGCUGAGGGAUACAGUUGUGUGACUUGGGCUAGAGUGAGAGAGAAGCCCCUCCACAGCUGUGGCCUCUGCGUGCCCUGCUGCUCAGAGCUCCGUGUCCAUGCAUCCCAGCAGGCUGUGCUGAAGGAUAGUGUGAUGAUGGAUGGGAUGAGACAGCACUUUCCAUCUCCUGCCUCCUGGAGCCUGGGCUACUGGCAGCAAACUCCCCACUGCAGCCAGCCUCUUCGUGCUCAAACCAGGCACUCGUCUAGCACAGGCCCUGAGCACUACCAGAGGGGUCAGGAACAAGGAGAAAAGACCAAAAAAAGAGCAGGGGACAGCAAAACCAGGGCAGGUGUUUCUCCUCCCUCUCUUUCAGGGAUGUUGCUCAGAGGCAAAGGGCUGCAAAGCUCUAGCUCCUUAAUGUCUUGUUAAGAAGGCAGCCAGGCCCUUCCCCUCUGCUACCAGAGCAGAUGUGGCCUUGUUUAAGAGAUGCUCUAUUAAUAAACUUCUGGUUUCCAGGCUACCAGAGCUUUGUUCUGCCUAUUAGCAGAAGCUCACUGGCACCUCUCCAGUACCCACAGGCCUGUUGUUUGUCACAGCCCCCGGUACAAAGGAGUCAGAUGCAGCAGGCUGGUUCCCUCCCCCAGGCCUUCCCAGCAAGAACUGGAGCAGAGAGGCUUCUUCAGUGCCACAUUUCAGCUCAGACCUGGCAGCUGGGGUGCUGGCCUCCAGUGCUUGGAGGACUUUGAGCAGCAACUCUCUUUUUUUUUCCUCCUGCUUGUCAGGGGUCUGCUGGUGGUGCCCAGAUAGGCUGUGGCUUGCCUCAGCCAUGCUCUCUGAAUGCAGAUGGGAACACUGCUUCCGUGGGAGGCUCUGACUCUCUUGGUCGAGUGGAUGAAGGAAAGGUAAUGAUGGUGUAAUGCCUGAGUCAAUGAUUUGCUCAGAUUCGUGGAUGUUGGAUUGUUUCACUGUCUUGCUGCUGCUUCAUCAGCUCUGUGUCCAUUGUGGACGCAGCUGGUGCCAGUUUCUCAGCGUCACAGAAUGUUCAGUGUCGGAAGGGACCUCUAAUGAUUGAGUCCCACCCCCUGCCAAAGCAGGAUCACCUGGGGCAGGCCACACAGGAAUGCAUCCAGGCAGGUUUUGAAAGUCUCCAGAGAAGGAGACCACAGCCUCUCUGUGUAGCCCAUUCCAGUGCUCUGUCGCCUUCACCAUAAAGAAGUGUCACCUUGUGUUGUGGUGGUUUCACUUCAUCCAAGUCAUCAGCAGUCAGAGUGGUCUUUUUGGAGGCAACCUCCUCCUCUGUGAGGUCAAUAACUUUGUAGUUUUCAUUGUUUGAUGAAGACUCCUUCCUGCUCUGGUACCACAAAGUUGUCUUCCUGGUGAGGGAUGGCAGGACAGGAGUGCUGCUGUCACCAGGGUCCUCAGGAAGGGAAGCAUCUGGCUCCCUCCACCAAGACCACUCUCUCAGGCUUACAGCCCUAAGUUCCUCUCUUCUCAUUAACUGACAUAGUAAAUGAAGAGAUGAGCUCAAAAGCAGCACAUGCAGGAAUUGAUCCAGUGUGUGGGAAUCCAUAUAGGUGCUGCAAAACAGGGAGUAAGCUGCUGGGAAACAAAUCCUUGUUCUUGAAAUGUAGCUGAGGAGUAGCUCAGAGUAAUAAAACAGGCUUAAGGCCUGAUUUCUAAGGUGACAUUUCCCCCUCUUUUGAGAUUUCUUCACCUCCUGCUGUUCCCUGUGCUAUGCCCUAAAGCAGAUCAGUGCUCACACCUGUGCUGUAUUACAUCAUGUGUACAAACAAGAGUAAAUAAACCCACGAUGAUUGAUCCAACUAA